ACUAGUUCGUUCGCCACCAGUUACGUCCACAACCAUUUAUGCACGUUUCCAGUCCAGAUCGAUUUAUUUGCUCAAGCCGUUGUCGUCUUUUAACUUUCCUCAGUUGUGUUCGUCGUCGUUUCUGCUUGUUAUGUCCGCCGCUAUCACCAGGGUUUACUAACACAUUAGCAGCAGGAGUCUUCUACAUUGGCAUUCUGCCCAUCUGAUGACGACGAUCAACCCAUCAGUGACAAUGCUUCUCAAUCUGACGGCGACUCACGAACUUUUUCUACGCUGUCUUGUAUUUCAAUUCCAUUAAAGCUUGAGUUUUCCACAUUAACACUCAUUUAAUUUGGACUCCAUUUAUAUAAAUACAUCAUCUCUCCUCUCA